UUAGAGGAGGAUGUCAUUAUUGCUUUCUGGUACUUAAGUCAGCCGAAAUAAAAAAAAGAUAAAAUAUUGGUAAACUAAUAUAAUAACAAUAUUUUCAGCUUCAGCUUUUCUGCUAUUUUGUUUCAUGCUACGCUUGUUAAAUUCGUUCUUUAAUAACUUUUCGAAUAGCUCCAUAAACAUGGGUUUUGUUGUCAAAAGAUAAAAAUUUGUCAAAAGAAAUAGCAGCAGAGACGUCCUUUUGAGUCGACAUGAUUCACUGACAAGUCGCGCCGAUCUAUCGCCAGAGGCGAUAAGUGUCGCCCAAGCCGGUACGCCGCCGAUAAUUAUCGCAUCGCAAUCGCGUUCAUGUGGACUUGUUUAGGUUGUAAGCGAUAAGGUGUUGAAUUGCAUAUAGCAUCACUAUGUAUUGCUUGUAUUGCUCCAGUGGGCACCGGGUCUUACAGGCAAAGCCGGGGUUUUGGAGUGCUGAAAAAUGUUUUAAAAAAAUUGGAAUUCGCACAGAUGCACGUAGAACAAAUGAGACAGUUGUGACGACAACAUUUCACCGUAUGAGGAAAAUGUUGUUCAAAUAAAAGCUCCUUGACUGGAAGGAAAUAAAAUCAAAUAAAAUAUGCAAGGACAUCACACAAGAAGAAUUUCAAGAAGGGUGAAAAUAUGAAUAAAACUGAUGUGAAAAAAUAA